AUGCCGAGGAGCUCGGCGCACGACGUACGGAUUGUGGCGGCUCCUUGGUGCGUGGCAGGCCACACGUGGUCGUGGGUCUGUUUCCUUGGUUGCUUUGCUGCUUUUGCUGUUCUUGAGGAUCUGUUCUUGAAGAAGAGGCUGAUGGAGGGGCAAGAUCUGGUGGAGGAGCAAGACAACGGAGUGCUCAUGAUUCCUCCAGGAUCUCUUCAACUGGAUCCUGGGAUUGAAAUCAAUAUGCAAAGCUUAUCAAUCCAAGAUCUAGAAGUUCUUCAUAUUCAAGCAGACCAAAAUAAGGAAAAGCAGGGACAAGAUAGCAGGUACAAUAUACUUAUGAAGCUUGCGGUUACUGGAGGAUCUCCGAGAGUUCUUUCUCUACAAGUGGUGCAGCAGUCCAUGUCUCGGGCCUGGAGAGAAAAUUAUCAUGGGAUUUCGCAGCUUUCAAGGUACAUCUUUGUUGCGCAUUUCCGCUCUUUGGAGGCAGCCAUGUUUGUGAUUACUCGUCAGCCCUGGAGUAUGGGUUCGGAUAAUUUCUUACUUGAGUGGAUGGAUCCAGAGGAUCAGACUAGAAAUAUUCAGGACUACAAGUUUGAUGUAAUCUUCGUCACUGUCCGUGUGUAUGGUGUUCCUCCAAGAUUUAGAUCCCAAGAGUUGUUAACUAAGAUUUUGCAAAGUGUUGGUCAAUUAUCAGAAUUUCAUCCAUUCAGUCAGGCUAUGAUUCAUGCAAAACCAGACUACAUGUGGGGUACAAUCAAGGCUAAGUGUUCAAUAUUGUCCUACUAG
rnacentral:rRNA from 1 species